AACAUUCGUCUCAUAAAGCCUAACAUAGACCAAGUCAAAUUGUAAAUGACAGUCGACCUAUGACUGCAAUAAAAUACCUGCGAGACGAGUGCGACAGGCAGGAAACUGGGACUGGUGGUUAGUAGCCUACAACAAUCAACAAUGGACAGACCUGGAUUCUCUACAGCCCCUCAUCCUCCUGAUGUCAGGAUUGUGCUGCUGGGUAAAACUGGAGUGGGGAAGAGUGCAACAGGAAACACCAUUCUGGGUCAAGACGUGUUUCACUCAGCUUUGAGCUUUUCCUCAGUUACCAUGGAAUGUCAAGAGAGAACUGUUCUCAUUGGACAGAAUAGAGUCAGUGUGGUUGACACUCCAGACUUCUUCUAUGCAACACACACACAGGAGGGUUUGAGUUCAGAGAUAGAGAGAUGUAUCUAUCUCUCUAACCCUGGACCUCAUGCAUUUAUCUUUGUUCUAACUCUUGAUACUUUCACUGAGCAGGAGACAGAUGUAGUCACUGUAUUUGAGAAAUGUUUUGGUGAAGUAGCUUCAAGAUACACCAUCAUUGUCUUUACUCAUGGAGACGAGCUGAACAACAGAACAAUAGAGGAACUAGUAGAGAAAAAUGUUAAGAUGUCUGAGCUCAUUGAAGAGCGUGGUUGGAGAUAUCAUGUCCUUAACAACAAAGACAGAGCCAAUAGAAACCAGGUGACUGAGCUGCUGGAAAAGAUAAUCAUCAUGAUGAAUGUGAACGAAAGUAGCUGUUACACACAUGGCAUGUUGCAGGAGGCAGAAAGAAAGAGAAGAGAAGAGAUUGAGUUGAUGAAAGAGGAGAGUCUCAGAGAGGAAGAGAGGAAAAUAGAAGAACACCAGAGAUGGUUAGAGAAGGUGAGAAGAGAGACAGGGGAUAGAGUACGGAGAGAGACAGAGGAGAGAGUAUAGAGAGAGAUGAAGGAUAGAGGAGGGAGAGAGAUUGAGGAUAGAGUAGGGAGAGAGACAGAGGAGAGAGUACAGAGAGAGAUGAAGGAUAUAGGAGGGAGAGAGAUGGAGGAUAGAGUACGGAGAGAGACAGAGGAGAGAGUACAGAGAGAGAUGAAGGAUAGAGGGAGAGAGAUGGAGGAUAGAGUAGGGAGAGAGACAGAGGAGAGAGUACAGAGAGAGAUGGAGGAGAGAGUACGGAGAGCGACAGAGUAGAGAGUACAGAGAGAGAUGAAGGAUAGAGUAGGGAGAGAGAUGGAGGAUAGAGUAGGGAGAGAGACAGAGAGAGAGUACGGAGAGAGUCAGAGGAGAGAUGAAGGAUAGAGGAGGGAGAGAGACAGAGGAGAGAGUACGGAGAGAGACAGAGGAGAGAGUAAAAACUACACAUUGAACUGAAGUCUGUGCCCAAUGGGGUGGUUGUAACCUACAAUCUGAAAACAGUUAUAGAUAAAUAAUCAAUGCUGUUAACUAAACAUGUUCCAAGCAGUUUGUAGUUCUGCUAGACUACCUUUUAUCAAAUGUUUUUAAAAUAAAUGAUUAAUUCCAGCUUGCACAUAAUAGCCAGUUGGUGCCUUGUCA